UGUCCUGUUACACCUGGGAUAUAUGUGCUUUUAACCCAAAACAAAAGUAUGCAUCUGUUCAGCCCUCCAGAAGACUUUGAGAACCAUCUUUUCCUGAACUCUAGCUGGAUUGUUUGAGGAACUGGAAAACUGAG
rnacentral:lncRNA from 1 species